rnacentral:rRNA from 1 species
CACGUAGGGGGCAAGCGUUUGUCCGGAUUUAUUGGGCGUAAAGAGCUCGUAGGCGGCCUGUCGCGUCGGAUGUGAAAGCCCGGGGCUUAACCCCGGGUCUGCAUUCGAUACGGGCAGGCUAGAGUGUGGUAGGGGAGAUCGGAAUUCCUGGUGUAGCGGUGAAAUGCGCAGAUAUCAGGAGGAACACCGGUGGCGAAGGCGGAUCUCUGGGCCAUUACUGACGCUGAGGAGCGAAAGCGUGGGGAGCGAACAGG